rnacentral:rRNA from 1 species
UACGUAGGGGGCGAGCGUUGUCCGGAUUUAUUGGGCGUAAAGAGCGUGUAGGCGGCCAAGUAAGUCCGGUGUGAAAACUCGAGGCUUAACCUCGAGAUGUCAUCGGAAACUAUUUGGCUAGAGUCCGGAAGAGGAGAGUGGAAUUCCUGGUGUAGCGGUGAAAUGCGUAGAUAUCGGAAGGAACAUCAGUGGCGAAAGCGGCUUCCUGGACCAGAACUGACGAUCAGGCUCGAAAGCGUGGGGAGCAAACAGGG